GAGAACAUACGUCCGUGCAGCCUGCCCUGUCUCUCAAGUUGGAAGUAACCGCAGAGAUCAAGCCAGGACUGCUGGGUGGAAGGCAGAGAAGGGAGUGCUCAGAACGAAUGCCCGUGUUCUGUUUCCUGCUCACCAUCCAUUCUGUGUCAUUCUGGGUCCAAGAAGAUGAAUGUUCUGCAUUUUCACCAAGGGAAUGGAGUAUUUCUUCCAGGAAGUUAAUAAGAUUGUAUAUUUUAGCCUCAGGGCACCAGAGAAGGGAAAGAAAAAUUCCCUGAAACAACAUGUCUCUUGUUUAAUAAAGUUUUAUUAUUAUUAUAUAUGAGUGUGUGGGAACGAGAAAUCUAUAUCCGUUCUUUGCCGUCACAGCUUUAUUGGUUCUGAGCUUAAAAAAUCAGUUUGGUGACUAACAGAAUAAAGAACUGACUGACCGGUG
rnacentral:lncRNA from 1 species